rnacentral:rRNA from 1 species
CAGCAGCCGCGGGAAUACGAAGGGGGCUAGCGUUGCUCGGAAUUACUGGGCGUAAAGGGAGCGUAGGCGGAUCGUUAAGUUGGGGGUGAAAGCCCGGGGCUCGACCUCGGAAUUGCCUUCAAUACUGGCGAUCUUGAGUAUGGAAGAGGUAUGUGGAACUCCGAGUGUAGAGGUGAAAUUCGUAGAUAUUCGGAAGAACACCAGUGGCGAAGGCGACAUACUGGUCCAUUACUGACGCUGAGGCUCGAAAGCGUGGGGAGCAAACAGGAUUAGAUACCCCUGUAGUCCCUGUCUCUUAUAA